ensembl:snoRNA
GUGGCCCUCACUGAAGACCAGCAGUUGUACCGUAGCUGUUGGUUUCGAGCAGAGGCCUGAAGCACUGUCUUUCAGUGGUUUGUGGCUGUUCUGGAACCUUAACAGGGAAUGGCUGUUUGAUUCAGCAGGUGCAAAC